CCUGCAAAGGCGGCAGCUGUCCUGGGUCUGCUCCCGGCUGGGCAGAGAAGGAGGCGCAGGGCCUGAGCCCCACCCCGUCGGUAGGAGGAAGCCAGCUCUGUGCAGAGGGAGAGUCAGCGUGGCUGCUGCAGGAUUCUGGUUUGAUUUGAGACACAUUUUGGGAUUCCUGAGGAAUUAUCCAAUCAUUCUGCAUCAUCAUCGUCAUCAUCAUCAUCCCCGGCACUGUCAUUAAGUGUCAGAAGCGAGGAGCGAAGAUUUCCUGUGCUGCUCUGGGCGGAGCACAUGGCCCCAGGUCGUCCUCACAACCUGAGCUCUGUGGACUCAGAAAUAAACACAGCACAAGGUUCCGAGUUCGAUCCCCGGUACCAAAAAAAAACAUAGCACUCUGCACCCAGAGGGGAGACUGCCUGCUACACAAGAAGAUAAACAGGGUCCAGGCACGGUGUCCAGAAUACAGUGGAAAAUCUCGAGUCACAUAAAAACCAAGCACACCGCAACUUCAGCGAGAAGAGUGAAGCAGAUGGUUACCCACGGAGUCCAACCCAUCCAAGCCAUGAGCAGAUGCCGCUAGCAAUGUCCUCUUCCGAUCCCACAGUGAGAGACUCACAACUGCAGAGGAUAACUGACUAUGUCCAAAGUCAGCUCAAAGAAGUAAUACAAGAGACUUUUGGCCCAAACUCCACAAGAAUAAGGAGGAUAAAGGCUAGAGGGGUGGGAGGAGAUGGUUAGGGGUCACCAAGUUGGGGCAGCGGUGGCUCAGAAGGCUGGAACAACAAAACAAACUCUUGGGAACAGUGAACUAUUUCUUUUUGCAGUCAUUCAAUAGCCUUCAGCAUGUUUCACCAGGCUCAUCCAUUAGUAGAAUCUGAUAAAACUAGGAACAGAAUUUUGCAUGAAGUGAAAAUUGUUACCAAGAAAAAACCCAACUCAGCCUCUGGGCUCAUUUUCUCUUAGUCAACUUUAAAUCCCCAGUUGUGGAGGUCACGCAGCUGGGUGGCCCGUCGUUGUUUCCCACCAGUGUCGCUGUGGAUGGCCUCGCUGAUGAGAGGGUCAGUAUGACAGUCACCUGGGGUGCUUCCCAGUGACCUGCAGGGCCCUCGUGCGGAGGACACCGGCUCCUCCCUGGGCUCACAGAUGUCUGAUGGGAGAUUGAAGUGCGAUGGAGGCUGGCAUCGCAUCUGCAUACUGUGUCUUCCCCCUCUGCUGCCUCAACCCUGGGGUCGAAUUCUACUCAGCUCUGCAAGUAGACGUGUUGAUCGCGUAAGAAGCAUUCUGUCCAAGGCCAUGCACCCGGUUAACUGGGCCUACUGGCCGUGGGGGCCGGGGUGUGAUUCUUCUACCCACACCUCUGGCUUUUCAGCUCACACACUGAAAGUCCUGCAGCCCUGUCACCAGCCAGGACGUUUAUGCGGGACGAUGACGCCAGCUGGAAGGGUAGCUUGUCAGAUCCUGAGCAAAGCUGAGCGCCCGGUCUCCCACCAAGCACAAGGCCGGGAUGUUCGGCAUAGGAUGACGGCGCCAGAACCAGGAAGAUUCAGCGGCUUCCAGGAGGAGCUGAGGAGCCACCUGGGCUCCAGGUCCAUUGCUAGAAGACACCUUUGAGCUGUGCCCCUGGCCGAUGAGAAUCACCAGACUGGAGCCCACCCCAGCAGUGCUUCCUGAAGGCAGAGGGCGAGGAGCCUGGGGAGCCCACCCUGCUGACCAGAGCAGGGUGCAGGGAAGCUCUGAGAGGGCCCAGGGUCCAGCACCCCGCUGUCGACGCCAGGUGGAGCUGUUCAUCGUGACCUGCUCAGGCUCCCGGCGCUGUGACCUGAGGGGACAGUGGCUGACUUGGAGCUUCCAGAAGCUGCCUAGAGUGCUGGUACCCUCACCCAGCUGGGGCCGCUCCUCGGGGCUUCGGGGUGGGCGUUGCUGUCUCCAGCACAUGCCCCUGAGGUGGGGAUGCCUCUGGAUUCCUAAGGCUGCAUGCUUGAGCCUUCUUGGUGGAGGACACUCAGGUGACAGCGCUCAGGUGGGGGACUCUAGGGUGAGCCACAGCCCAGGGCCACAGUGUCAGCAUCGGGUCUCCAUCAGCGGCUAACUGGGAGCCCAGUGCCCUGCCUGCUCCCUUCGAGGCGCAGUCACGUCGGGUCCUCUGGCACAGUGUGGGCCCCACCUGUGUCCACCCCGGAAGGGCACACUCGGCAGCCAUGGCUCUUCCUCCUGCAGCUCAUGGAGUGGGACUCCGGCUGGCAGCUCAGUGGGGUGGACCUCGGUCGGCACCCCUUGGAGUCUGGGGUUUGAGUCUUUGCCUGUCGCUUGUCACAGCUGCCCCUUCCCAUGCCCGCGGGUGCUCAUUUGGGAACGGAUGGCAGUGACCUUUGCCUCCAGGCUCCUGGGAGUUGAAGGAGCCCUGUGAAGUCCAGUGUGCACCUCUCAGCCAUCAGAGACCCCCCCAGGGCUGCUCCUUGGGCUGUGUGUAUCGGUCACCCACAAGGGGUGGCCUUGGAGCUGCCCUCAGAGACCGCUCGCCGGGCGGGGAACAUGCUUCGCUCUGUGUACCACAGAAGGCCAUGGCUCCGGAGCCUGGAAGCUUCUCUGGCCUCCUCUCUCUCCCUUCUUCACCUUGGGCUGCCUUGGAGGUAAAAGUUUCCUCCACAGGAAGCCCCUGGAGUUGGGACUCCCAAGCAGGCUCUGUCGACAGAAAGGGGUACGGGACAGCCCCAGCCUCACUGGCCGCAUCACCCUGACUGUUGCUGCCCUGUCUCAGCGCCAUCUGCUUUCCACAGCCCUGUUCAGGUGAGCUGUGGCAGUGGCCGCAGGAAGAUUCGCACUGACCCUGUGGGAGACAGAAAGUCGGACGGCCCACGCCCCUCAUGUGUGCACCCCAGUGAGUAGAACAUGCCAUUGUUUCCUGCAAAACUAAAAUUUCAACAGCUCCUGGUGCUUCCUCUCCGCGGGUCCAGGGAGGGAGGAAAAGGCACAGACCCACUGGCUGCCUCCACCCGGACAGGGGAAGAGCUGCCACUCCUGCCCUUGCCCAGCAUGUCCUUCUGAUGAGUUCCAUGUGUCCCCCAGCGCAGCUCAGCUCCCGCCCUGAGGCUCCAGACACACCGUGUGGGCACAUGCGGAGAGGGCCAGGCUCUCCUCUCAGGGCCCUGCAGACGGGACAGAGGUGCCAUUAUAGGGGCACAGGCAAUUAUGCAUGAGAUACUCGUUCAAUUGUUUACCUAACUAAUUAACUUAGUUCAUCACAAAGAAUGGAAUUAAUUUUAUUUAUUGGGUUCAUGAAAGUCAAAGAAAGCCAACUUGGAAGAUGCACAUAAUCUGCACAGCAACUAUUUCUAGCACAAUAAAGUUUAUUUCCCA